rnacentral:rRNA from 1 species
UCCGUAGGUGAACCUGCGGAAGGAUCAUUAUUGAAUGAACUUGGUGUGGUUGUCGCUGGCCCUCUGGGGGCAUGUGCACACCUACCAUUCUCAUCUCUCCACCUGUGCACCUCUUGUAGAUUUGGAAUUGAUUAUCCGAGGCAACUCGGUCGUGAGGACUGCUAGCACUUAGCCGGCUUUCUUUGCAAUUCCAGGUCUAUGUUUUUCAUAUACCCCAUUGUAUGUAACAGAAUGUAUCAUUGGGCCCUUGUGCCUAUAAACCUUAUACAACUUUCAGCAACGGAUCUCUUGGCUCUCGCAUCGAUGAAGAACGCAGCGAAAUGCGAUAAGUAAUGUGAAUUGCAGAAUUCAGUGAAUCAUCGAAUCUUUGAACGCACCUUGCGCUCCUUGGUAUUCCGAGGAGCAUGCCUGUUUGAGUGUCAUUAAAUUCUCAACCAUUAUCAACUUUUGCUGAUAAUGGCUUGGAUGUGGGGGUCUAUUUUGCUGGCUUCUCAGAUAGUCAGCUCCCCUUAAAUGCAUUAGCCGGUGCCCCGCGUGGACUGUCUAUUGGUGUGAUAAUUAUCUACGCUAUAGACAUCCGCAAUCAUAUGGGUUUGCGCUGCUUCUAACAGUCUGUUGAUUCAGACAAUACAUGACAAUUUGACCUCAAAUCAGGUAGGACUACCCGCUGAACUUAAGCAUAUCAAUAAGCGGAGAA